rnacentral:rRNA from 1 species
CCUACGGGUGGCUGCAGUGGGGAAUAUUGGACAAUGGGGGAAACCCUGAUCCAGCAAUGCCGCGUGUGUGAAGAAGGCCUGCGGGUUGUAAAGCACUUUCGGUUGGGAAGAAAAGUUUGGCGCCAAUACCGCCGAACCUUUACGUUACUGACAGAAGAAGCACCGGCUAACUCUGUGCCAGCAGCCGCGGUAAUACAGAGGGUGCCACCGGUCGUCGGAAUUACGGGGGGGGUCACGUGCGUAGGUGGUGAAAUCCCCGGGCUUAACCUGGGAACUGCAUUCGAUACUACAUGGCUAGAGUAUGGUAGAGGGAAGUGGAAUUUCCGGUGUAGCGGUGAAAUGCGUAGAUAUCGGAAGGAACACCAAUGGCGAAGGCAGCUUCCUGGACUAAUACUGACACUGAGGCACGAAAGCGUGGGUAGCAAACAGGAUUAGAUACCCCUGUAGUC